UGUCAACUCGAGCCCUCUUGUUGCUACAAGCUGGACACUUGUAUUGCUUAAUAUGCUCAGCUCUGGCAGGGGUAAUCUUCACACAGUUGCCGUGGAACCACUUUUCACAUAAGUCACAGCAUAUCCAGAAUUCAUCCGCCGCAUAAUUUUCUCCACAGGCACCACAGAGUGUCUUGCCAUGGAACCACUUUUCACAUAAGUCACAGCAUAUCCAGAAUUCAUCCGACGCAUAAUUUUCUCCGCAGGCACCACAAAGUGUGUCGCCAUGCUCAUGCUCCUCCUCAUCCUGCUC
rnacentral:lncRNA from 1 species